rnacentral:rRNA from 2 species
UGCACCUGAUUGAUUUUGGUCGCCAACGAGUGGCGGACGGGUGAGUAACACGUAGGUAACCUGCCCAGAAGCGGGGGACAACAUUUGGAAACAGAUGCUAAUACCGCAUAACAGCGUUGUUCGCAUGAACAACGCUUAAAAGAUGGCUUCUCGCUAUCACUUCUGGAUGGACCUGCGGUGCAUUAGCUUGUUGGUGGGGUAACGGCCUACCAAGGCGAUGAUGCAUAGCCGAGUUGAGAGACUGAUCGGCCACAAUGGGACUGAGACACGGCCCAUACUCCUACGGGAGGCAGCAGUAGGGAAUCUUCCACAAUGGGCGCAAGCCUGAUGGAGCAACACCGCGUGAGUGAAGAAGGGUUUCGGCUCGUAAAGCUCUGUUGUUAAAGAAGAACACGUAUGAGAGUAACUGUUCAUACGUUGACGGUAUUUAACCAGAAAGUCACGGCUAACUACGUGCCAGCAGCCGCGGUAAUACGUAGGUGGCAAGCGUUAUCCGGAUUUAUUGGGCGUAAAGAGAGUGCAGGCGGUUUUCUAAGUCUGAUGUGAAAGCCUUCGGCUUAACCGGAGAAGUGCAUCGGAAACUGGAUAACUUGAGUGCAGAAGAGGGUAGUGGAACUCCAUGUGUAGCGGUGGAAUGCGUAGAUAUAUGGAAGAACACCAGUGGCGAAGGCGGCUACCUGGUCUGCAACUGACGCUGAGACUCGAAAGCAUGGGUAGCGAACAGGAUUAGAUACCCUGGUAGUCCAUGCCGUAAACGAUGAGUGCUAGGUGUUGGAGGGUUUCCGCCCUUCAGUGCCGGAGCUAACGCAUUAAGCACUCCGCCUGGGGAGUACGACCGCAAGGUUGAAACUCAAAGGAAUUGACGGGGGCCCGCACAAGCGGUGGAGCAUGUGGUUUAAUUCGAAGCUACGCGAAGAACCUUACCAGGUCUUGACAUCUUGCGCCAACCCUAGAGAUAGGGCGUUUCCUUCGGGAACGCAAUGACAGGUGGUGCAUGGUCGUCGUCAGCUCGUGUCGUGAGAUGUUGGGUUAAGUCCCGCAACGAGCGCAACCCUUGUUACUAGUUGCCAGCAUUAAGUUGGGCACUCUAGUGAGACUGCCGGUGACAAACCGGAGGAAGGUGGGGACGACGUCAGAUCAUCAUGCCCCUUAUGACCUGGGCUACACACGUGCUACAAUGGACGGUACAACGAGUCGCGAACUCGCGAGGGCAAGCAAAUCUCUUAAAACCGUUCUCAGUUCGGACUGCAGGCUGCAACUCGCCUGCACGAAGUCGGAAUCGCUAGUAAUCGCGGAUCAGCAUGCCGCGGUGAAUACGUUCCCGGGCCUUGUACACACCGCCCGUCACACCAUGAGAGUUUGUAAC